AGGACCUAUUGAAUCCAACAUGAGUAGCUUUUUCAAAAAUCAGCUGCUGCUGCUUCAAUCUAAGCAGCCUUUAGAGCAAGAUCAUUCUGUCAAAGACAACUAGCCAAGAAUAGCAAUGAUAUUUCUGAAGAUGCACUUGACCAAGUUGCUGAUUCUUUGAACAAGGUUCAGAAGAUGGGUCAUUUUGAGGAUUAUCUACAUUCUACAGCUUUAAAGAUUCAAAAGAGAUACCGCGGAUGGAAGGGAAGAAAAGAUUUUUCGAGAAUAUGCAACCGCAUUGUAAAAGUUCAGGUACUUGUGCACACAGAAUGUAUUUUACUAGCAGCAAGGUCAUGCUUGUCUCGUAGGUGAUUUUUUUUUUUUUUUUUUGAGUUUUACAAUUCUUUCCUUUCCUUUCUCCAUAGUAUAUGCUUCUUUAUAUAUAACCCUCAAAUUGUUGUGAUGGCUGUAGCUUUUCUUUAAAUGUAACAUACUGUUAUUUCAUUUAGUAUGGCAUUUCCUUGAUUUGCCUUGCAGAGUCAAUUCCUACUGCCUCUGUCCUUGUGUCCUUGCAGAGUCAAUGCUAGAGUUUCUUUGAACUUGAAGUGUAAAAAACUACAAGUUGGAUCUUGUUUGAAAUCCAAACUCAACCCUACUCACCUGGAAGUAGUUGAUACAUCUGGAGGGUAAAAAAAACUUACCUUACUUUGAAUUUUUUGCUAUUAAAUCGUUUUGUUGAUGAAAAGCUAAUAAAAUUCCUAGUUUCUGCCUUUAUCUUGCAUUUUAUUACCCAAAAUGUUAUUUGAUAUCUCUGUUUUUUAUUGCAGGUUCUUCGUGAACUUCUUGAGUUCAAAAGUGAUCGUGCUCCAAUACCUGUAGGGAAGGUUGAACCUGCUUUAGCUAUUGUGCAUCGGUUCUGCACUGGUGGGAUGUCUCUUGGAGCUAUUUCAAGAGAAACUCAUGAAGCAAUUGCAAUUGCAAUUAACAGAUUAGGUGGAAUAUAUGUAAAAUUAUGUAAAAUUUAGUAUGGUUGAACAAUAUACUGAGGAUUAUAGUUGAUAAUACACUUUGUUUACGUUUUGAAUUAUAUUGACUUGUUUGUUUAUAAUAAUUUUCUUUUAAUUUUAUAAUACGAUGAAUUUGUUUAUUUUU